GGGGGGUCACGUGGGUGCCUAGGGCCGCGGCCCCGCGCAAGCAGGGUGAAAACUCGCGGAGUCCGACUGCGCAUGGGUAAACCCAGGGGCGGAGUCAGUGACCCGUUACCUGUCCCAGGGCGUUGCCUUGGCGACAGUGUCAGUUACUGGGUGCUCCCCCUCCCCCCGGCGAUGAGGUCGGUGACUGGGGCCCUCUCUCCCCUCCCCCACAGAAGUGGCAGGAGUCUAAAUAAUAAGAUGGGUGAACUAGAGUGCCUUGUAUGUAACUAGAGUGCCUGGGACCCCUGCAACGAGCGUGUGCUGUGGACCUGCGGGAUCGGUCGACGCUACGCACGUCUCAUGCGGCGCCUCAUGGUCUCAGACACCAUCCGAUGGUCCAGGGACAUCUACAUCGAGCACAUCACCGGCCACCGACAGUACCAGGAGGCGUGAGCCAGAGUGACAUCGUUCUCCCACUACGAGAAAGGGACCAAGUGACCUUCUCCGUUGGAUCAUAUGAACUGGAACCAUAAACUCCCUGAACAUUAAAUCUCACCAAAUGAGGGUCAAUCCAUCCUCAUCAUCAUAUCCACUCAUUAUAAUCCACACCCGAACAUAGCCACUUUAUGAACUUCAUACCCUCAUAUCUCAAUGUCUAUACUUUGACCCAUCAACCUUUUACCCCCAAUCGGGGAUAUUGCAGAUUAUGUAUUCCUCAUGCCACCUUAUCUUAAACCAAACUUUGCACCCUCGAUAAUCUGUAUGUUAUUCCCUGAUAACCAGAAACUUCUAUGCUCAAACUCUGUUCACUAUUUUUUUUAACAUCAUCUUAAUAAAAUUUUUAAAUCUGUUCUUAUUAA